rnacentral:rRNA from 1 species
GUCCACGCCGUAAACGAUGGAUACUAGCUGUUUGGUAGCAAUACUGAGUGGCUAAGCGAAAGUGAUAAGUAUCCCACCUGGGGAGUACGAACGCAAGUUUGAAACUCAAAGGAAUUGACGGGGGCCCCGCACAAGCGGUGGAGCAUGUGGUUUAAUUCGAUGAACGCGAGGAACCUUACCAGGGCUUAAAUGUAGGUUGACAGGCUUGGAAACAGGUUUUUCUUCGGACAACUUACAAGGUGCUGCAUGGUUGUCGU